UAGGUCAUUUUAUUUACAUAGAUAUAUUGCAGUGGUCCCUAGAGUUGAAAUACAAAUCUAUCAUAGCAGUUUGAUCCUUAGGUUGCUGUGUGCGAGAAGGAAAUUUAAUUUGCCCACCUCGUUGACGAGAUGGUCUUCACUGUAUGUAGAAACACGCCAAGUCGACAAGACUCUCUUAAAAAUGAACAGUUCUUAAUAAAGUUUUAGGUGGACGCAGAGCUCCCAGAAGUGGUCGUCUGGUUACUAG
rnacentral:misc_RNA from 1 species